UAAAAGCUGUUAGAAGUGUUGGAGUAAAGUUGCUGCUGCUGACUCCCCUGAUGUCAUCUCCACGAGCUUUCUUUACCCUGAGUAUCUCGCUGUUGAAACCUCCCCUGCAACCCUCGGUGGACGACACUCGGCGUAGUCAGCAGGAUGAGAGCUAGAAGCCAGAGCACAGAGCCUUUGGAAUGGCCUGACCGGCUGGGGUUAGGCCGUCAAUGAGGAAAAGUCCAAGGCUACUGGGAACAGUUUACUGUCCUGGGCACAUACCUUCGCCAAGGUCACAAUGUGUCACAUUGCUGGGUCUGUACCGAGUUACCCUCAGAUACUUCGGAAGACUGUCCCUGGCAAGUAGCUCUGGCUACAGUCAAGAAUUGGACUGCUCUCUGCAACUGGAAUUAUGCCGGUGUCGAGUGGAAUGCACACUGCCGAGUUACUGAGACCCUCCUACAAUGGAUUUAUCACAAUGAACCUCCCUUACUCGGGAAGGUUGUAUACAAUGGUUGGGGGUGGCUGGUGGGAACCCAUGUAGAAUUAUUGCAAGUAGCCCCUUUCUGUACAGAGCAAGUGAAUUAUACUGUCCCCAAUUGUACAGUAGGUUAGAUCCCUAAGGAACUGUGUCACAACAUCUCUUGUAUAAGGGAUACCAACCACUGGUGGGAUGGGAGAAAAUUAGUGGGUACCAAGCAUACAGACUUUUUACCGGGCGAUGCCCUCUGCAUCUGUUGACACUAUGGGUGGCCCUACCUUAUCAUACAUUGGACAGGAUGAUGCACAUGGGGGCACCCCUUUAUAUAGGGCCACUUUGCCCCUACUGUAACCCAGAGACCCACUAAUUGGCUAUGGUAAACCCACUGUUUACCAUAGAUGGCGCCGAGAGAAAAGAGCUGCCUGGUUCUGUCCCCUGGCUUUGUUUUUACCUGGGGGUAGAGUCAUAGCUGUAGAAUUGCAAGUAGAUGCUUUGGCUCAACAUAUAGCCCAAGCCUUGAAUGUUACCUCUAUAUCGCUAGCCUUGCUGAUAGAUGAGACUACCAGAUGCAUAAAGUAGUGUUACAAAACAAGAUGGCUUUAGACCUCCUGACUGUGAUACAAGGAGGAAUUUGUGCCCUUUUGCAUGUGGAAUGCUGUGUUUGUAUUCCAGAUCAUCAGCAGCAAAUACAGAAAGCCUUAAAAGAAAUAGAUGCUGAAGUUUCAUCAAUACAGGCCCUCCAGGAAGACCUCCUGACACAAUGGUGGACCAAGUUGGGGAAUUUCUGGAGAUGGGCCCUAUUGAUUUUGUCAGGCCUCGCUGGAGAGCUCAUGGUUAUAUGCUGCACCCUGUACUGCUGUUGUGGGCUCUGUGCAUAGGGAAAUGCUUUAUGGGUCAAGUCCCGACACACAAGCCUCUCCAGGGGUGGGCUGUGAGGACCUGGGAACGUGGCCUAUUGCCAAAAAAGGCCAUGGUUCAGGAUGUGUGCCUGGAACUGGCUGUGCGAGCGCAGACCAUGUUUUCUUAUGUAACAGAUCUCUUACAUAAGCAUGACAAAGCAAGACUUAGAAUACAUGCGCCACGCAGCGCCACGCUUAGAUCAUCCUACUGCAUGAUUCUAUAAAAGCUGUUAGAAGUGUUGGAAUAAAGCUGCUGCUGAUUCCUCCUGA